UUAAUCUUGUUAGUUUUCUCUGCACCUUUUACAUAGCUGCUCAGUUCCUUCUUUGUGAAAUACUUUAUUCUUUUGGCUUCCAUAGCCCCAUUCUUGCCUAAAUUUCUCUGCCUGUUCCACAAUUCGUCUCCAUGUCUCCUCAUGGGCUGGUAUCCCUAGCAUUCUGUACUUGGCACUUACCCCUUUUCACAUCACAGUCUUUCCCUGAACCAACUGGUGGCUCCAUAAUGGGAUUCCCUGACCCAGAAUCGGUUCUUCUGAUUUCCAGGACCUGCCUAUGGGACAUCUUCUCCUUUCUCCUGGAGGCACGCAGGUAUGGAGACCUCAAUCAUGUCUACAACUAAACCUCUCACUCCCACCUCCCCCGCAGCUCCCUUCUGUAUUUUCUCCACUGAACCAUGAACCAUAUUUGUUUGUCUACCCACUCAGUCUGCCAAGCAAGUUAUGAGUGUUCCUGAGUCAUCUUGGAUGCCUCUCUUCCCUCUGUACUCCUCAUCACUCAAUCUUGUUGAUGCUCUUUCUGAACUGCCAUGAGUCAUUCUCACCUCUCCAGGCCCACACUACUCUUCCCAGUUUAGACCCUCAUCACCUCUUCCAUCCACUAGCCUGACUGGUCUUCCUGCCCCAGGGCUCACCCCUUCUAAUAUGACUCCCCAGCUGAUUUUCCUGAAAGAUAAGCCUGAUUGUUUCUCUACCCCUUUAAAACCCUUCACGGGCUCCUCAUUACUUGCAGAAUGAAAUCUGCAUAUUUUAUCAUGACACAAAAGGUAUCCCAGGAUCUUCAGCCCAUCUCCUGCCAUGCUCCACCUUGGAAUACUCUGCUAGAUCAUAGCAAGCAUGCAUGGCAGUGUUCUUCCACCGAGGAUGCCUUUUUUGCUUAAUUGGCCUGGAGAAUUCCUUUUAAUUCCUUUUAAAACUUUUAAAAUUAAAUUACUUUUAAUUACUUUUAAAAACUCUUUCCUCCCCCAAUAGACCAGGCCUGAGAGUCACUCUCUCAUUCUUGGUGGCAUGCUUCCAUUAUUGCAUUUACUGCUCAGAAUUGGAGUUUGUAUCCAUGUCUCUGCUGAGCUGUGAGCGCAUUGAGAAUAAACACAGAUUCUUAUUCAUCCUCACUUUGUUAUAUUAUAACCAUGAUUGGCUACCAUUUAUUGAAUGCCAGGAGGAAAAAAACCCUGAAGUUUGGAGAUAUUAGGCAAAUUGCUCAAAGAUGUAUUGCCAUUUAGAGGCAGAGUUAUAAUUUAAUCCCCUUUUUUAAAAUGAUCCAAAACCCAUGUUCUUAUCAAAAUAAUGCACUACAACUUAGAGGUUUCCUGGUAAUACUCCUACUAGUAGUAGUUUUUAUAACUAUCACUGUGAAUCAUGCAUUAUGCUAAAUGCUUUAUAUAAUAAUCAGUUUCUGAAGAUGGAGAAUUGAUUUGGUUUUUUCAAAUUUUUAACGGUUUGAUAUAAAAAGUUAUUUUUAAAAAUGUAAAAUAACAAAAGAUAUUUACUAAAGAUAUUCAUAAAUUUGACAGGAGUAUAGUUAAGCUUAGGUGGACCAGAUGACCCACAAUAUCCCUUACCACAUAAGAUUUUAUAAUUCUACGAAUAUUUUUCCUCUUUUGAUUUUAACAAAUCUUUUCUUAAAUUUAUUUUAUUAAUAUAUUGUCCUGGCAGUAGCUUCAUAUGGUUAUAAACACGUUUUCUUCUUCUUUUUCUUUCCUAUUUAAGGGAAAAAAAAAAACACCCAAUGCUUUCUGUAUGUUUUCAUAUGUAACCUUCUACAUAGCAGAUGCUGCUAAAUUGCUGGGGAUAUAAUGAGAAUUAAAAAGGAAAUACAGUUCUUUUUCUCACGGAGCUGAAAAUCUAGUAGGGGAGACACACAUUACCCAAAUGAUCCCUCAGUGACCAUGUAAUUAUAAACUGAAUCAAAUGCUCUCUAAUAAAGGACUACUGUACUCUGAAACUGUAUAACAAAGAACGUGAUCUCUGCUCUGGGUCAGGGAGCAUGUCCCUGAGGAAAUGGGCGGGGGCUGAGGCUUGGUGAAUGAGGCGGAAUACUCAAGCCUGGUGCCGGGGAGGAGAGCCCGGCAGACGGAGCUGAUGUCUGGGUAGAGGGACCUGUGGUGGGAGAAAGAGAGAAGAUCAGAGUGGAGGGGAGAAGCAGGGUUGGGGCCUUGAAGGUACUGCUGAGCAUCUGGGUACUUAUCCUUACCCUGCAUUGCCCGCAGGCCUGACCUUUGCUUCAUUCUUCAUGGCUGCGCAGUGAGAGUGUGGCCCCUGCAGUGCUUCGUUUGUGUGGCCCCGUAUUGCCCUGUAUAGAAGCAUUUCAUCUUCACAACAACUCUAUGAGUCUCGGGUGUGUCUUCAUCACCAGUGUGAAGAUGGACUAAUACAAAGAGGAACUAGGGGAGCUUGGAGGAACCACAGAGACUCAAUCAGGGAUUCAGGUGAAGUCUCUGUUGCAAACUCUUGAGCAGGCAAGAACCCCUGGACUCUUGCAGGGGACGUGGGAGGAGCUGUACAUACAGACAGUGACGUCCAACCAAUGUGGGUUCAAACCCUGCAUCUGUCACCGGCUAUGUGACAUUGAUCAAGUUCCUUAAGGUCUCCAGGUUUGUUUUCUUAUCUGUAAGAUGAGAAUCCUCUUCU